GACGAACGCUGGCGGCGUGCUUAACACAUGCAAGUCGAACGGACAGGUCCUGCUUUUGUGGGGUGCUCGAGUGGCGAACGGGUGAGUAACACGUGAGUAACCUGCCCUUGACUUUGGGAUAACUUCAGGAAACUGGGGCUAAUACCGGAUAGGAGCUCCUGCUGCAUGGUGGGGGUUGGAAAGUUUCGGCGGUUGGGGAUGGACUCGCGGCUUAUCAGCUUGUUGGUGGGGUAGUGGCUUACCAAGGCUUUGACGGGUAGCCGGCCUGAGAGGGUGACCGGCCACAUUGGGACUGAGAGACGGCCCAGACUCCUACGGGAGGCAGCAGUGGGGAAUAUUGCACAAUGGGCGGAAGCCUGAUGCAGCAACGCCGCGUGCGGGAUGACGGCCUUCGGGUUGUAAACCGCUUUCGCCUGUGACGAAGCGUGAGUGACGGUAAUGGGUAAAGAAGCACCGGCUAACUACGUG
rnacentral:rRNA from 1 species